GUGAAUCAUCGAAUUUUUGAACGCAAAUUGCGCCUUUUUCGAAAGUCAUGUCUGUUUGAGGGCACCAUUUAACAAAUAAUGUGCAGCGCAUUUUUUUGCACACGUUGAUGAGCUUUCCCAGAAUUUUAAAAUUUUGGUGGCGCAUAAUGAACAGCGUGAAGCUUUUUUUUCAGUUCGAGUGUAGUAAAAUGUUUGUUUGGGUUGUGAAAAGCGUAAUCGCGCAAUGGUUGUGGCCAUUUCUGUUUAUCCCUGCCCCAAUGCC
rnacentral:misc_RNA from 1 species